UUCACAUCAAUCCACAUAUGUUGG
rnacentral:miRNA from 1 species